rnacentral:tRNA from 1 species
GGAAGCGUGGCAGAGUGGUCGAUUGCACCGGUCUUGAAAACCGGCAACGGGCAACCGUUCGGGAGUUCGAAUCUCCCCGCUUCCGCCA